rnacentral:rRNA from 1 species
GAUGAACGCUGGCGGCGUGCCUAAUACAUGCAAGUCGAGCGAACAGACGAGGAGCUUGCUCCUUUGACGUUAGCGGCGGACGGGUGAGUAACACGUGGGUAACCUACCUAUAAGACUGGGAUAACUUCGGGAAACCGGAGCUAAUACCGGAUAAUAUUUCGAACCGCAUGGUUCGAUAGUGAAAGAUGGCUUUGCUAUCACUUAUAGAUGGACCUGCGCCGUAUUAGCUAGUUGGUAAGGUAACGGCUUACCAAGGCAACGAUACGUAGCCGACCUGAGAGGGUGAUCGGCCACACUGGAACUGAGACACGGUCCAGACUCCUACGGGAGGCAGCAGUAGGGAAUCUUCCGCAAUGGGCGAAAGCCUGACGGAGCAACGCCGCGUGAGUGAUGAAGGUCUUCGGAUCGUAAAACUCUGUUAUUAGGGAAGAAUAAACGUGUAAGUAACUGUGCACGUCUUGACGGUACCUAGUCAGAAAGCCACGGCUAACUACGUG